AUCGAACGCUGGCGGCAGGCCUAACACAUGCAAGUCGAACGAGCGGCGGACGGGUGAGUAAUUUCUGGGAAACUGCCUGAUGUAGGGGGCUAACUACUGGAAACGGUAGCUAAUACCGCAUACCAUCAGAUGUGCCCAGAUGGGAUUAGCUAGUUGGUGGGGUAACGGCUCACAAAGGCGACGAUCCCUAGCUGGUCUGAGAGGAUGAACAGCCACACUGGAACGGAGACACGGUCCAGACUCCUACGGGAGGCAGCAGUGGGGAAUAUUGCACAAUGGGCGAAAGCCUGAUGGAGCCAUGCCGCGUGUGUGAAGAAGGCCUUCGGGUUGUAAAGUACUUUCAGCGGGGAGGCGUUACCCGCAGAAGAAGCACCGGCUAACUCCGUGCCAGCAGCCGCGGUAAUUC
rnacentral:rRNA from 1 species